UUGGGCCGGGCUAAUUGAGCCCAACCAUUUUCUUCUCUUCUACUAUCUUUUUUUUUUAGUUCCUGUCCGGUUGCCUCUCCGAGCUCCGGCGGCCGGCGACCGUGGCUGCUCCCAAACCCCCGCGUGUGCGUAACCUCAAGUGGUUCGAGCCGACCGGCACGUUUCGGUUCCGACCGAGCCGAAUCGAACCGACCGAGCCGUAACCCUAAGUGGCUCGAGGUCACGCCGGCACUGCAUCCUCGGCCUCAACCACCUGCAUCGGCGGCGGCGCGUAACCUCAAGGGCGCGGAGCUGGCUCUUCUCCGUCUCCUCGCUGCCAGGGACGUCCACGACCUCCUCCCCCUCAUACCCACCCACCCCUCCCAACUCCAAUGGCAGCAUGCCCGCCAGCUGCUCAACGAAACGAAACGGCCGACCAACUGACCAGCAUCCAUGCCCAAUCUACUCCAUGGCGCUCGCAACUGAGGUCUUCAACAGUCAACACACACGACGCGGCGCAUGAAUGCAGGCAGGCACACGUUUUUGGAUUGCUAACCUGAAUAUCUGAUGGUUCUGUAGUGAGUGCUGUAAUGUUUACCUCAAGUUGCUACUCUGUGUUUGCAUGAGGAUGAGGUGUGCUUGA